UUCGUCAGAGUUCAGCCGAGUUCAACCAAAAGCCGCAUCACGUGACUAGAAAUACCGAAGAGUCAAAACGAAACACUUGUGACAAUUUCCAUUUAUAAGAGUGUAAAGAUAUGGUUAAGUUCUUUCUGUUGCUUGGUUUGGUCCUAUCCGCGUCAAAUGUAAAGGCUGGUGGUUACGGGAAGGGUAGUGGCUACGGCCAUGGAUCGAGUUACGGACAUGGAUCCUCCUACGGAAUGGAAUACAGAGGAUAUGGUGACGGCGGUUACGGAUCGGCCUCUUUAAUGAGGGAUUUAUUAGGAGGCUAUCGAGGAGGUGGUGGCUACGGCAGUGGAGGUGGUUACGGCGGUGGAGUUGGAUAUGGAGGCGGUUAUGGAGGUGGAAGUCGCGGACGAAACUUAGCUGUUGUUCAAACGCCAGUGCUUGAAUAUAAGAAUGUGGUUCAAAAUGUCCCAACAAUUGAAUAUCAGACUGUUCCACAAGUACAGUACCAAACACAAACAGUGGCGAGACAGGUGCCAAUAUAUGCUAAUUCAAACCCAAGUUAUCCAAGUAACCCGUCAUACGUUGGUCCAUCCUCCUUGAUGGGAAGUGGAUCCGCUGCACCAUUUUACUCUGGAUCAGCUGCACCAGUUUACUCCGGAUCCGCUGCACCAAUUUACUCUGGAUCAUCUGCACCAGUUUUCUCAAACGCACCCAUGUUUCCCAGCGGUUUAGGAUCACCAAACUUCAACACUGGAGGUUCAUCUCCAAUUUAUUCUAGUGGUGCUCCAGUCUAUAAUACAGGAAACAGUGGAGGUGGUGCUCUUAGAGGAGAUGGGACCUUCAACCCAUCACAACCUAACACGUACCUUGUUGGGUAAUGUAAUUACCUAGCAACCACCACCCCACAUGGAUGUGGAACCAUGGCAGGAUGUUUCGUACUUUGUAUGCUCUCUAAAUAAAACCUAUCAAUACCUUC